CCUACGGGAGGCAGCAGUGAGGAAUAUUGGUCAAUGGCCGAGAGGCUGAACCAGCCAAGUCGCGUGAGGGAAGACGGCCCUACGGGUUGUAAACCUCUUUUGUCGGGGAGCAAAGCGAGUCACGUGUGACUCAUUGAGAGUACCCGAAGAAAAAGCAUCGGCUAACUCCGUGCCAGCAGCCGCGGUAAUACGGAGGAUGCGAGCGUUAUCCGGAUUUAUUGGGUUUAAAGGGUGCGCAGGCGGAGGUGCAAGUCAGCGGUCAAAUUGCGGGGCUCAACCCCGUACUGCCGUUGAAACUGCAGCCCUUGAGUGCGCGAGAAGUAUGCGGAAUGCGUGGUGUAGCGGUGAAAUGCAUAGAUAUCACGCAGAACUCCGAGUGCGAAGGCAGCAUACCGGCGCGCAACUGACGCUCAUGCACGAAAGCGUGGGUAUCGAACAGGAUUAGAUACCCCUGUAGUC
rnacentral:rRNA from 1 species